UAUAAGCAAGUGUGAAUACUGCCAUGGGC
rnacentral:piRNA from 1 species